UGGGGAAUUUUGGACAAUGGGGGAAACCCUGAUCCAGCCAUCCCGCGUGUGCGAUGAAGGCCUUCGGGUUGUAAAGCACUUUUGGCAGGAAAGAAACGUCGCGGGUUAAUACCCCGCGAAACUGACGGUACCUGCAGAAUAAGCACCGGCUAACUACGUGCCAGCAGCCGCGGUAAUACGUAGGGUGCAAGCGUUAAUCGGAAUUACUGGGCGUAAAGCGUGCGCAGGCGGUUCGGAAAGAAAGAUGUGAAAUCCCAGAACUUAACUUUGGAACUGCAUUUUUAACUACCGGGCUAGAGUGUGUCAGAGGGAGGUGGAAUUCCGCGUGUAGCAGUGAAAUGCGUAGAUAUGCGGAGGAACACCGAUGGCGAAGGCAGCCUCCUGGGAUAACACUGACGCUCAUGCACGAAAGCGUGGGGAGCAAACAGGAUUAAUACCCUGGUAGUCCACGCCCUAAACGAUGUNAACUAGCUGUUGGGGCCUUCGGGCCUUGGUAGCGCAGCUAAACGCGUGAAGUUGACCGCCCUGGGGGAGUACGGUCGCCAAAGAUUAAAAAACUCAAAAUGAAAUUGACGGGGGUCAU
rnacentral:rRNA from 1 species